UGGGGAAUUUUGGACAAUGGGGGAAACCCUGAUCCAGCCAUGCCGCGUGUGUGAAGAAGGCCUUCGGGUUGUAAAGCACUUUCGGACGGAACGAAAUCGCGCGCGCUAAUAACGCGCGUGGAUGACGGUACCGUAAGAAGAAGCACCGGCUAACUACGUGCCAGCAGCCGCGGUAAUACGUAGGGUGCGAGCGUUAAUCGGAAUUACUGGGCGUAAAGUGUGCGCAGGCGGCGCCGCAAGUCGAGUGUGAAAGCCCCGAGCUUAACUUGGGAAUUGCGCUCGAAACUAUGGUGCUGGAGUGUGGCAGAGGAAGGUGGAAUUCCACGUGUAGCGGUGAAAUGCGUAGAGAUGUGGAGGAACACCGAUGGCGAAGGCAGCCUUCUGGGCCAACACUGACGCUCAUGCACGAAAGCGUGGGGAGCAAACAGG
rnacentral:rRNA from 1 species